GAUGAACGCUGGCGGCGUGCCUAAUACAUGCAAGUCGAGCGAACAGAAGAGGAGCUUGCUCCUCUGACGUUAGCGGCGGACGGGUGAGUAAAACGUGGAUAACCUACCUAUAAGACUGGGAUAACUUCGGGAAACCGGAGCUAAUACCGGAUAAUAUAUUGAACCGCAUGGUUCAAUAGUGAAAGACGGUUUUGCUGUCACUUAUAGAUGGAUCCGCGCCGCAUUAGCUAGUUGGUAAGGUAACGGCUUACCAAGGCAACGAUGCGUAGCCGACCUGAGAGGGUGAUCGGCCACACUGGAACUGAGACACGGUCCAGACUCCUACGGGAGGCAGCAGUAGGGAAUCUUCCGCAAUGGGCGAAAGCCUGACGGAGCAACGCCGCGUGAGUGAUGAAGGUCUUCGGAUCGUAAAACUCUGUUAUUAGGGAAGAACAAAUGUGUAAGUAACUAUGCACGUCUUGACGGUACCUAAUCAGAAAGCCACGGCUAACUACGUG
rnacentral:rRNA from 1 species